rfam:Phlebia centrifuga strain FBCC195 PHLCENscaffold_2426, whole genome shotgun sequence.
GCUUCGAUAGCUCAGUCGGUAGAGCGCAGGUCUCAUAAUAUGAGCCCGGAUAUCCGGGAUUAAUCCUGAGGUCGUGAGUUCAAGCCUCCCUCGGAGCA